GAAAUGCGAUAAGUAAUGUGAAUUGCAGAAUUCAGUGAAUCAUCGAAUCUUUGAACGCACAUUGCGCCCGCCAGUAUUCUGGCGGGCAUGCCUGUUCGAGCGUCAUUACAACCCUCAGGCCCCCCGGCCUGGCGUUGGGGAUCGGCGGAAGCCCCCUGCGGGCACAACGCCGUCCCCCAAAUACAGUGGCGGUCCCGCCGCAGCUUCCAUUGCGUAGUAGCUAACACCUCGCAACUGGAGAGCGGCGCGGCCACGCCGUAAAACACCCAACUUCUGAAUGUUGACCUCGAAUCAGGUAGGAAUACCCGCUGAACUUAAGC
rnacentral:misc_RNA from 1 species